AUUGAACGCUGGCGGCAGGCCUAACACAUGCAAGUCGAGCGAGCGGCGGACGGGUGAGUAAUGUAUGGGGACUGCCCGAUAGAGGGGGAUAACUACUGGAAACGGUGGCUAAUACCGCAUACUAUCGGAUAACCCAUAGGGGAUUAGCUAGUAGGGGGGGUAAAGGCUCACCUAGGCGACGAUCUCUAGCUGGUCUGAGAGGAUGAUCAGCCACACUGGGACUGAUACACGGCCCAGACUCCUACGGAGGCAGCAGUGGGGAAUAUUGCACACGGGGCGCAGGCCGUAUGCAGCCAUGCCGCGUGUAUGAAGAAGGCCUUCGGGUUGUAAAGUACUUUCAGUCGGGAGGCGUUACCGACAGAAGAAGCACCGGCUAACUCCGUGCCAGCAGCCGCGGUAAUAC
rnacentral:rRNA from 1 species